rnacentral:rRNA from 1 species
GACGGAGGGUGCUAGCGUUGUUCGGAAUUACUGGGCGUAAAGGGCGCGUAGGCGGCCCUGUCAGUCGGGUGUGAAAGCCCGGGGCUCAACCCCGGAACGGCACCCGAGACGGCGGGGCUGGAGACCGGGAGAGGAGGGUGGAAUAGCCAGUGUAGAGGUGAAAUUCGUAGAUAUUGGCUGGAACACCGGUGGCGAAAGCGGCUCUCUGGCCCGGUUCUGACGCUGAGGCGCGAAAGCGUGGGGAGCGAACAGG